AUCGAUACCUGCCAGGAGAGAUACCAUGAUCGUGAAGGUGAUUUUCCCAGGGUGAGGCUUACUCACUGACUUAUGGAUGUGCUGACCCCUGCCAUUUCCCCAAAUGUGGGAAACUCAAUAACUGCAUAAUUUGUGGUAGUGGAGAACAGCAUUUAUGCUCUCCCCAG